rnacentral:rRNA from 1 species
UACGUAGGGGGCGAGCGUUGUCCGGAGUUACUGGGCGUAAAGCGCACGCAGGCGGUCUCUCAAGUUUGGAGUGACAGUUGGUGGCUUAACUGCCAAAGUGCUUCGAAAACUGAGAGACUUGAGGGCUUCAGAGGGACACGGAAUUCCGGGUGGAGUGGUGAAAUGCGUAGAGAUCCGGAGGAACACCAAAGGCGAAGGCAGUGUCCUGGGGAGUACCUGACGCUCAGGUGCGAAAGCUAGGGGAGCGAACAGG